GCCUGGUAACCGGGUGGCGGCUGCAGCAACAGUCACCGGCUCCUCCGCGCGGGGCGAAGCGGCAGCUCUGCUUGGGCUGGGCGAGCCGCGGCGGCGGCCGGAGCCCCCAGCUCCCGAGGGUAGCGUUGUCAGGGGGCCUUGCUGCCAGCCCGGCACGGGGCGAGGGAAGCGGCGGCGUGCCCCUCUUGCUGCCCCGGUGCGCAGAUUCUCCCCCGCCCGGGGGGGCGCGUCCCUGCCUUCACCCGCACCUAGCGGAGGGGGCGGAUGGUGUGAGGGAGGCGGGACCGGGGUCACCGCCGCGGGGGGCUGGAGGAGGACGCUCCGCCCGUGACCCGGGCAGCGGGUGCGGGCAGGGCGCCGCGGCAUCGCCCCGCCACCCCCCGGUCGCUUUCCUGGAAAGCGGAGCGGGAGGGGUAGCGGGGUCUCGCUGUGAAGAUGGCGACCCCCGGGAUGAACUGGCAGCAGCAUUACUACGGCGGCGGCGGCUCCUCAGCCAGCGCUGGGAAAUUCGCCGCGUCCAGUUCCCAGCCGGGGCUCAGCGUGGAAUACAGCCAGGAUCUGCACCUCAAAAUGAGCAAGAAAAUAGCCCAGCUCACCAAGGUAAUAUAUGCUUUAAACACUAAGAAUGAUGAACAUGAAGCUGCUAUUCAAGCCCUCAAGGAUGCUCAUGAAGAAGAAAUCCAACAAAUUCUUGCAGAAACAAGAGAGAAGCUCUUACAGUAUAAGAGUAAAGUUGCUGAAGAAAUGGAUCUUAAGAGAAAGAUCCAGGUUUUGGAAGAGUCAUUGGAAGAUCAUAAAAAGAUGAAACAUCAAGCCUUGACAGAAUUUGAAGCUUACAAGGACAGAGUUGAAGAUAUGCAGCUUUGUGCAGAAGCCCAGCAUGUCCAGCGUGUAGUAACUAUGUCAAGAGAAGUAGAAGAGAUUAGAAAGAAGUUUGAGGAGAGGCUACGAAGCUUUGUACAAUUGCAAGUACAGUUUGAGAAAGACAAACGCUUAGCUCUGGAAGACUUGAGAGCAGCACACAGAUUGGAGAUUCAAGAACUUAUGAAAACUCAGCAGAAUCAGAAUGCUACUUUAAGUAAGGGUCAAGAGAAGCUAGAGGAGUUGCACAGGUUGGAACUGGAAGAUUUAAACAGCAAAGUUGAAGAGCUAAGACUGGAGAGGAAAAAACUCAUUGAGGAGUAUGAAGGCAAACUCAGCAAAGCUCAAUCCUUUUAUGAACAUGAACUUGAUGCUUUGAAAAGAUCUCAGCUCUUUACAGCUGAAAGCCUGCAUGCUUGCAAAGAGAAAGAAGUGGAGCUAAGAAGAGAGUUUCAAAGCCAAGAAGCUGUUUUACGGAAGAACCUUGGGAAACUGAAGACUGAAUUGCAGAUGGUACAGGAUGAAGCGGGUAGUCUGCGAGAAAAAUGCCAAAAGCUUCAGGUAGCUCUCAGUACAGCAGAAAACACUGUUCAGGUGCUUCAAAAACAGCUAGAUGACGUCAAGGAGGAGGAGAUAUCAUUGUUAAGCAAACACAAGGAGGUGGAAAGUGAGCUAGCAGCUGCUAGGGAACGCUUACAGCAGCAGGCCACAGAUCUUGUACUUAAAGCCAGUCACAUUGGAAUUCUUCAAGCUACACAGAUGACACAGGAAGUUACAAUAAGAGAUUUAGAAUCAGAAAAAUCUAGAUUAAAAGAGAAACUAUCUCAGCUGGAAGAGGAAAGAAAUCUAUUGCAGAGCAAAACACAAAGUCUGGAUGAAAGACAAAGGCAGCAGAUUCUGGCACUGGAAAAGAAGGUAAAUGAAGCCAGGGAAACACAACGAGAGUAUUAUGAGAAAGAGCUGAUCAAGCUGCAAACCAGAUUGGAAGGGGAGGCUGCACUGUUAAAUGAGGCUCAUUCUAAGACCUUGGAAGAAUUGGCAUGGAAACAUCACACGGCGAUUGAGGCUGCACACAGCAAUGCUACCAAGGAAAAGAAAAAGCUGCAACUGGAGUUGGAGCAGCAAUUUGAAAAGGAGAAACUACAUCUGGAAGGGGAUAAGAAUCAGCUUAGACAGCAGUUGGAAAAUAUGAGGGAAGAACUGACAACAAAGCUGACUUCGGCCAAUCAGGAGGUGUGUCGUUUACAAGACCUAGUAAGAAAAAGUGAACAGGGCCUUGGUACUGCAGAAGGACACAUCUCCAAUCUUCAGGAAACCCAGGAAAUACUCCAAAAAGAACUAGAGUUAACCAGAGCAAGGCUGAGAGAGACCACGGAUUCAUUGUAUAAUGUUGAGGAGGAACUAGAACAGGAGAGACAGCAGCAUGAAGCAAAGAUUUCUGCCAUGAGGGAAGAGGAGAAGAUGAAAGUUGACAGAAUGGCUCGUGAUCUAGAAAUAAAAUGGACAGAAAAUCUUCGACAGGAAUGUAGUAAACUUCGUGAAGAGUUGAGGCUUCAGCAUGAAGAGGAUAAAAAGGCAGCCAUGACUCAGCUCUUGCAACUGAAAGAACGCGAAAAAAAUGCUGCCAGGGAUGGAUGGCAAAAGAAGGUGGAAGAUCUUUUAGACCAGCGGCACUGUCUCGGUGAAGCUUUGCAUAAAUCUAUCAGCAAUAAAGAAGAAAAGAAUGGAUAUUUCAGAAUUAUCAGACAUUCACAGCAGUGGAACAAUUGCUGUCACCAGAGGGUGAUCUCCUUGCUGAAACAGAAUCUGGAGAUGCAGCUUUCCCAGUCUCAGAGCUCCUUGCAACUGCUACAGGUGCAGUUUAGUCAGGAGCGACAAAGGCUUACCCAGGAGCUUGAGGAACUGGAAGAAGAGCAUCAGCAAAGGCAUGAAUCCCUGAAGGAAGCGCAUAUACUUGCAUUUCAAAACAUGGAACAAACAAAAGAACAAAAACAAAAGGAACUAGAAGAGCAUUUACAACAAAAACAUUCAGAAGAACUUCAGACACUGAAAGAAGCACACAAACAAGCUAUGGAAGGUUUCAAAUUGGAAAUGGAACAGGAACUUCAGACUCUUCGAUUUGAGCUGGAAGAUGAAGGGAAAGCUAUGCUAGCUUCUUUGCGCUCAGAGUUAAAUCAUCAACAUGCAGCAGCAAUUGACCAACUAAGGCACAACCAUCAACAAGAAUUGGUAGCUGCUAAAAUGGAACUUGAAAGAAGUAUAGAACUCAGCAGACGACAGGAGAAGGAAUUUUUGUGCCGAGUAUCAGAUCUACAGGAUGAACUCAAACAUCGCGACCAUCAUAUAUCUGAAUUGGACAAGGAGGUUCUGACUCUGCAUGAGAAUAUAAGUGCCCUAACCAAGGAACUGGAGUUUAAGGGGAAAGAGGUUCUCAGAAUACGCAGUGAAUCCAACCAACAGAUUAGGAUACAUGAGCAAGAUUUAAGCAAGAAACAUGAGAAAGAGCUGGAUGUCAUGACAGCAGACCACAUCAGAGAGAAACAAAGCAUACUCGCAGAUUUUAAUAAGACCCAAGAACUACUCAAGGAAAUUAAUUCAGCUUUACAAGUUUCUUUAGAAGAAAUGGAAGAGAAAUACCAAAACAGGGAAUCAAGACCAGAAGAUUUACAGCUUAUUGCAGAGUUGAAAGACCUGAUUGCAGAGAGGGACCAACUCAUAAAGAAACUGAUUGAUGACAAAAAAUUCUAUCAACUAGAACUAGUCAACAGAGAGACAAACUUCAACAAAGUGUUUAAUGCAAGCCCUAAUGUCGGAGUUAUUAAUCCACUGGUGAAGCAAAAGAAGAAGAAUGAUAAAUCAACAAACAGGUUUGUGAGUGUUCCCAAUCUAAGUGCUCUGGAAUCUAGCGGAGUGGGCAAUGGACAUCCUAACCGCCUGGAUCCCAUUCCUAAUUCACCCAUCCACGAUAUUGAGUUCAACAGCAGCAAACCACUUCCACAGCCAAUACCACCCAAAGAGCCCAAGACGUUUUUGAGACGUCAGUAACAUGCAUGUGCAUGAAUUCAUGGAUUGUGAUGCUGGAGUUUCCAUUGCAAAUUGUUUCGUGCCUUGUAUUACCCCAGUAAAACGCCCUCCUCAGACUGAAGCUUCACCAGAUCCACAACGCCAGGAAUGGUUUGCCCGAUACUUCACAUUCUGAGAGAGAAUUUUUUUUUGUGGCAUAGCGUGGUGUGGAUUGUUUAGAAGAGCAUGUCUUUAAGUAAACCCUAUGUGAACAAGCUUUCCUGUACUAUGUCAAACACUGUGAAUGAGAAAGUAUUUGUCUCUCUGAUUUGAAAAUGCACUGUAUUUCAUGUGGUAUUUGUUGGAAUCACUUGACAUGAUACUAUAUAAUGUGCGUAAUUAUAUCAAUUAUUUUUAUUUAAAAUGGAAGAGUCUUUAAACUUUGUAAUUAUUACAUAAUAAAUUUUGGUAGAACAAA